GAGCCCCGUGUCCACCUAGCUUUUUUUUUUCUGAGGGCCGGAUUCUUUUUCAAUUGUUUUCAAUGAGGAGAGAGCGCACGCAGCAGCAGGCUAAGAAAAGCCCAGUGCCCAGCUUUUUUUCUGAGCACUCUGCCUUCUUUUUUUGCCGCCUCAGGAUCAUAUCUUGUACCCAUGUCCUUUUCUUUUUUUUUUUUUUUCUUUUUAAAUGUGUCUGAUCGGGAAUAAUAAAAGAUCUAAAAUAAAAAACCUUACAGUAAAAGAGACAUGACAGAUGUGCAAUGCUAGGUGGACACAGGGUCUUAGUCUUUAAUUUUUUUGUGUUCCAACCUCAGAUUUUGUCUCGUUAUGAAAAUGAAAGGAAACUAAAUCUUUUCAGGUUCAUUCAGGGCACAUUUCUUAGGGGUUAAAAGAGUUCGUU